rnacentral:tRNA from 2 species
GGGCGCGUAGCUCAGUUGGCUAGAGCACCUCGUUUACACCGAGGGGGUCAGGGGUUCGAGUCCCUUCGCGCCCACCA